rnacentral:rRNA from 1 species
GAUGAACGCUGGCGGCGUGCCUAAUACAUGCAAGUCGAGCGAACGGACGAGAAGCUUGCUCUUCUGAUGUUAGCGGCGGACGGGUGAGUAACACGUGGAUAACCUACCUAUAAGACUGGGAUAACUUCGGGAAACCGGAGCUAAUACCGGAUAAUAUAUUGAACCGCAUGGUUCAAAAGUGAAAGACGGUCUUGCUGUCACUUAUAGAUGGAUCCGCGCUGCAUUAGCUAGUUGGUAAGGUAACGGCUUACCAAGGCAACGAUGCAUAGCCGACCUGAGAGGGUGAUCGGCCACACUGGAACUGAGACACGGUCCAGACUCCUACGGGAGGCAGCAGUAGGGAAUCUUCCGCAAAGGGCGAAAGCCUGACGGAGCAACGCCGCGUGAGUGAUGAAGGUCUUCGGAUCGUAAAACUCUGUUAUUAGGGAAGAACAUAUGUGUAAGUAACUGUGCACAUCUUGACGGUACCUAAUCAGAAAGCCACGGCUAACUACGUG